GACGAACGCUGGCGGCGUGCUUAACACAUGCAAGUCGAACGGAAAGGCCCUGCUCUUGUGGGGUGCUCGAGUGGCGAACGGGUGAGUAACACGCGUGUAACCUGCCCUUGACUUUGGGAUAACUUCAGGAAACUGGGGCUAAUACCGGAUAGGAUCUCCUGCUGCAUGGUGGGGGUUGGAAAGUUUCGGCGGUUGGGGAUCGUCUCGCGGCUUAUCGGCUUGUUGGUGGGGUAGUGACUUACGAAGGCUUUGAGGGAUAGCCGGCCUGGGAGGGUGGACGGCGACAAUGGGACUAAGGGACGCACCAGAAGCCAACGGGCGGCAACGGUGGAGAGUAUUACGGAGUAAGCGGGAGCCUGAGACGGCAGCGCCGCGAGCGUGAUGACGGCCUUCGAGUUAAGAACCGAUGUCGCCUGUAACGAAGCGUGAGUGACGGUAAUGGGUAAGGAAGCACCGGCUAACUACGUG
rnacentral:rRNA from 1 species